UAAAACCAGCACCUCAAGUGGUCAGGAUGAUUAUUGGGCCUAAAGCAUCCGUAGCCUGCCCUGUAAGUUUUCGGUUAAAUCUGUAUGCUCAACAUACAGGCCGCCGGGAACACUGCAGGGCUAGGGAGUGGGAGAGGUAGACGGUACUCGGGAGGAAGUGGUAAAAUGCUUUGAUCUCUCGAUGACCACCUGUGGCGAAGGCGGUCUACCAGAACACGUCCGACGGUGAGGGAUGAAAGCUGGGGGAGCAAACCGGAUUAGAUACCCGGGUAGUCCCAGCCGUAAACUAUGCAAACUCAGUGAUGCAUUGGCUUGUGGCCAAUGCAGUGUUGCAGGGAAGCCGUUAAGUUUGCCGCCUGGGAAGUACGUACGCAAGUAUG
rnacentral:rRNA from 1 species